rfam:Rhodovulum sp. PH10 contig43, whole genome shotgun sequence.
GGACGGGACACCCCUCCCCACCGAGGGGCGCCUAUCUGAAAGGGUAGAUACA